rnacentral:lncRNA from 1 species
CCUUCCAUGUUUUUCGAAAUGGGCAGAGUGACCAUCACGACCACUGGUGGUAGAAUGACCAUCGCCACCAGUGGCGUUGCCAUUGACAUCAUCGCAGGCAGACGACUGAACCACACUAGCCAGUAUCUACAUCAAGGAAACCCAUUGGGAUACCUCUUCUUAUAAAGGCAUUUUCAGCAAUAUGAUGAGGCAAACAGGAUAUAGCCAGGCAAGAAAGAAGUGACAAUCAAGCAUCAUUAAUAGUGGUAGCCAAGAUUUGUAAUAAGGUAUAAAUAUUUACUUAUCAAACAAUCAUGGUAUCAUGCAAGUCAGUAUAUGCAUACAUAAAUAAAGACUAUCAUUCUUCUAUUCCUUUCAUGUUCUUCCUGAUUUAUAGUAUGGUAUAAAGUCUUAUGAAAUUAAGAGCAAUGUUGUUUGGAUAACUGGAAUUUACAUCUGGAAUCAGUUUGGAUAACUGUAGAAACUAGAAAGUUGUACUCUGAAGUUCCAUUACAAUGGAUCAACAAGAGAUUUUGUUGUUAGAUCUAACCCAACUAACAUACAAAAAAGUUUAAAAACCAAUUGUCUUCAAUUCAAAAGAAAAAUGCUAAUUACUCAAUAUUCAGAUGAUCUCAAAUGAAAAGGUCAUCCAUGAAAAGAAAAAUGAUCAGCUAUCACCGCCAAUUUGUCUCUUCCAAGAGUCUUCAACUAUGAGUUCGUCAACUCCCCAAUCCUCAUAACUGUUAAUCGCAAUAACAAUAGGUGGGAUGUUAAUUCAUUAAAGCAUCAAAGAAAAAAGGAAAAUAAAUUGAAUAUAAAUUGGUAUAUUGCAGACCUUCCAUCAGGCAAAUAACGUCGAAUGGUGAAAGGUAUUUUCCGCUGUCGAAGCUCCUUCAUUGCAAUCUGGAUUGGACAAAAUUGAGCGUUAAAUUUAAAUCAUAAUUGGUACAGAAAUUGGUGCUUUUUUAUUAGUGUCAUUCAUUCACAGUGAGUCGGUGACAGAUUUAUAAUUGACAAGAAUGAAAGGUUAACAGAUAAUUAUGGGAUUCUUGAAGGAUAAUACUUGCCUCCAGUGGAUCACUUUCGCCAGCCAACUCUACCAUCACAGGUGCAUUCAUGCUGCGCAAAAUUUGAAGGGAAAAAAGUUACUGAUGAGAUAACAAACAGACUUUAAUAAAAUUCAUGACAAACCUGAUCUGCACUGCUCGAGUACCUAAUAUCCUUGCUCUUUCGUACUUUGUCAUGUAUUUAGAUGUCUUUCUUUCUCUUUGAACCGGUACUGUGUCGGUUUUAUCUUCUUCGUCAACUAAAGCAUCUGGUACUUCAUUGUCAUUGUUGUCCACCUCUUCCAUCGCACCAUCCUGUUUAGUCACCAUACACAUGAAAAUAAAGAUUAAAUACUAUGACUGAAACUAGAAAGAGAGGAAAUGGGGGAAUCAAGUGAUCGACCCCUCUAAACAUACAUUAGAUGUGUUUAUAUACAAUUGAGUUUUAGAUUAGAUCUUAACUAAAUUCAUUUAAGUUCUAAUCUACACUAACUAAUUACAAUUAGCACAUAAGGACUAAAACGUGAUUAAAAACAAAUAAAGACAGAUAACAUUAUUUAUAUCACUAAUAAAUACAUCUCAACAUAAAUAAACGCAACAUACCAAAAAUAUUUCCCUUGCAAUUUGCAUGUUUUAAAAAAAACAAUUACCUCGAUUUCUGGCUCUGAUGGUUCAUCCUCGUAUCUGCAUUAUUUCAUUCAAUUCAGUGAUCCCCAUCAAUCAAACAAUAAAAAAACUCAUAUAUUCUAAAUGUAGAGAACAAACAAAGGCAAUAUCAUUCUAAGUUUCUAACAAGAGAUUAUCAGAUUGAAGGGACUCCUCAGAUAGCUUACACCCCUAACAUAGGAUAGACCCCUCAGAUAGGAUAUCCAUGGGGGGUAUUAUCAUUCUCCUCCAACUAGAGAAACUAGGGUUUGGGCAAAAAAUGCAAUUGCCUCAUAUUGUUAUGGUGUGUAUAUAAUACACUUGUAUGUAACCAACUCAUGAUUAUUUGAGUGAGGCUGGUUACAAGAAUAUUACAGUUAGAAUAUAUUAAAUAAUAAUAUUCCAAAAGAGACAACAAUUAAUAAUUAAAUAAAAUCUGUUAAUGUCAAAAUUCUUGUAAAAUCUACAAAUGUUAAUCAUGUUCAAGGUUUUAAAUGUGAGCGAUUUGGAAAAGAUGUGCUGUACGUAUUUCUUUAGAAAUUAGUCUUAGCAAGAACCUGAUUGGAUAUUGGCCCGAAUCUGCCUGUUUUUUCAAUUUUAAGUACUUUUAACAGAAUCACAAAUUAUGAUGGAUAGUUCUGAAUCACAAUUCUGUCGAACCGACGAAGUUCGCUGCAACAACCAGCUCCGCUGAGUAUACAAACCCUUUCCAUGGCCUCAUAAAUAUCAACACCCUAAAGAAAUCUUUAUUAUAAAAAGAUAAUUAAUGUAUAAAUCAAGAAAUUACCAAAAUAUCCCGAUACACGGGUGACUGGCUCCCUGCGCAUCCAUGUAUUUUAAUCCUUAUUCAUGUUUCAUAUUAUUGAAAUAAAUGAUGGUGAUCGCUUGAAUAAUGAAUAUCAAAUGGUCCCAUUAACAAAUAGUUCAUAUAUUAUUCAAAAAGAUUGAAUUUAAUGUUUUUAACUUUGAAAUUUUCAACAGACAGGUAUCGACCAAAAAUGAUCUGUCUGAAUUCUGAUGCAGUUUUCGGGGCAUUAAACUCUAAGGAAAUUCAUUUUUAUUAAACACAAACUUGUCAAAACAAUCAAACCAAAGGUACAUUAAGUACUUAUUUAUUUUAAAAGCAUCAAAUUUAAAUUUUGAUGUUUCUAAAAGACAGGUAUCACUUAUCAGCAAAAAAUGGCAUAUCUGAUGGAUUUUUCAUUGUUUUCUAAACAAUAAACUCAAUGAGAA